UACAGAGGUCUCAAGCGUUGUUCGGAUUCAUUGGGCGUAAAGGGUGCGUAGGCGGCGCGGUAAGUCGGGUGUGAAAUCUCGGAGCUUAACUCCGAAACUGCAUUCGAUACUGCCGUGCUUGAGGACCGGAGAGGAGACUGGAAUUCCCGGUGUAGCGGUGAAAUGUGUAGAGAUCGGGAGGAACACCGGUGGCGAAGGCGGGUCUCUGGGCAACUACUGACGCUGAGGCGCGAAAGCGUGGGGAGCAAACGGG
rnacentral:rRNA from 1 species